UACGUAGGUGGCAAGCGUUGUCCGGAUUUACUGGGCGUAAAGAGCGCGCAGGCGGUGCGAUCAGUCGAAUGUGAAAGCCCCCGGCUCAACUGGGGAGGGUCAUUCGAUACUGUCGGACUCGAAGGCAGGAGAGGGAAGCGGAAUUCCCGGUGUAGUGGUGAAAUGCGUAGAUAUCGUGAGGAAGACCAGUGGCGAAGGCGGAUCUCUGGACAGUUCCUGACGCUGAGGCGCGAAGGCCAGGGGAGCAAACGGG
rnacentral:rRNA from 1 species